UGGUAAAAGAUGGCUAUGCGUCUUAUUAGCUAGAUGGUAAGGUAACGGCUUACCAUGGCAACGAUAAGUAGGGGCCCUGAGAGGGGGAUCCCCCACACUGGUACUGAGACACGGACCAGACUCCUACGGGAGGCAGCAGUGAGGAAUAUUGGGCAAUGGAGGCAACUCUGACCCAGCCAUGCCGCGUGCAGGAAGACUGCCCUAUGGGUUGUAAACUGCUUUUAUACAGGAAGAAACACACUACGUGUAGGUGCUUGACGGUACUGUAAGCUAAGCACCUAAG
rnacentral:rRNA from 1 species